AGCUAUUUAGUUUAUAAAAAAUUUUUAUUUGUGGAGUAAAAGAAAUUUAGCUAU
rnacentral:tRNA from 1 species